rnacentral:tRNA from 1 species
GCGGGGGUGGAGUAGCAGACAACUCGUCGGGCUAAUCCCCCGAAGCCGUGGGUGCGAAUCCCAUCCCCCGCG